GAUGAAGAACGCAGCGAAAUGCGAUAAGUAGUGUGAAUUGCAGAAUUCAGUGAAUCAUCGAAUCUUUGAACGCACAUUGCGCCCGCCAGUAUUCUGGCGGGCAUGCCUGUUCGAGCGUCAUUUCAACCCUCAAGCCCCCGGGCUUGGUGUUGGGGAUCGGCGUGCCCUCGCGGCGCGCCGUCCCCUAAAUCUAGUGGCGGUCUCGCUGUAGCUUCCUCUGCGUAGUAGCAACACUCGCACUGGAUCGCAGCGCGGCCACGCCGUUAAACCCCCCACUUCUGAAAGUUUGACCUCGGAUCAGGUAGGAAUACCCGCUGAACUUAAGCAUAUCAAUAAGCGAGGA
rnacentral:misc_RNA from 1 species